UCGGGGUAAGUGGACUGGAAUGGUCCAGCUC
rnacentral:piRNA from 1 species